rnacentral:rRNA from 1 species
AUUGAACGCUGGCGGCAGGCCUAACACAUGCAAGUCGAGCGGCAGCGGAAAGUAGCUUGCUACUUUGCCGGCGAGCGGCGGACGGGUGAGUAAUGUCUGGGAAACUGCCUGAUGGAGGGGGAUAACUACUGGAAACGGUAGCUAAUACCGCAUAACGUCGCAAGACCAAAGAGGGGGACCUUCGGGCCUCUUGCCAUCAGAUGUGCCCAGAUGGGAUUAGCUAGUAGGUGGGGUAACGGCUCACCUAGGCGACGAUCCCUAGCUGGUCUGAGAGGAUGACCAGCCACACUGGAACUGAGACACGGUCCAGACUCCUACGGGAGGCAGCAGUGGGGAAUAUUGCACAAUGGGCGCAAGCCUGAUGCAGCCAUGCCGCGUGUAUGAAGAAGGCCUUCGGGUUGUAAAGUACUUUCAGCGGGGAGGAAGGUGUUGAGGUUAAUAACCUCAGAAAUUGACGUUACCCGCAGAAGAAGCACCGGCUAACUCCGUG